rnacentral:miRNA from 1 species
CAGUCAAUAUUGGCUGAAGGCA